GUUUUAGUUUCUACACAGUAGAGAAAGGAGCCAUCUGUUCUAAUCCUGCCGCACGCUGGGUCGCAAUGAAGAUCAGAGAGCUGCAAAAUGCAAUGGAGACCGGCAGCGCCUAAAAGUGAGAAAGGAUGAAGAGAGACCCCCAACAUCUUUCACUUAUGCAAAUGUCUGUAUUUUUGCUGCAUUGCUUUACCCCAAAUCACUUAUAUUUUUCAGAAAUUCAAAGGAUCUCAAAUUUUCUUUUCAUUAUAAUGACCAAGUAAAAAUUGUGCGAAAUGUUAUAAUUAAUUGAACUUCUGAAACCCAUGAUUGUCAAGUAAAAAGGAAUAUCAAGAUGUUUUAUUGCCACCUUGUAAACUGAAUUCUCAAGUCAGUCAUAGUGCUUGACUAUCAGACUACACAGGAAUGAAACUGAUUGCUUGUAGAAUUUUCAGAAUAUAUUAUCUGUAAUCCUAUAACUUUUCAAUGUUUUAAAAUUUCUAUGCUUUGGAAUAUGUUGUGGACAAUGUUUCAAAUCUUAAAGUAGGCACAUUUGUAUCUAGAAUUAUAUAGAAGUAAAUUUCUUCAUGCUUGAAACGCAAUACUAUAGUACCAGAAGCAUUAUUAGAUCUCAGAUUCCAAAAUAAAAGCUCUGCUCAUAUUUCCAAGUUGCAUACGCAGACAUACAGUCAUUUAUAAAGCAGUUAGUAAAAUAUGUUUGCACAGUAUUGACAUUCUAUUCAUAAAAUGUCUUCAGCAUGUUAUAUGAAAUGUGAUAAUAUGCAGCUAUACUAUAUAUGACAAGAUCUCAAUACUGAUCCAAUGCUUGUUUCAUAUUAUUCAUAAGAUGAACAUUUGUAAAGCUUAUUAAUCUUCAGUUUGUAUGAAUUAUCUAUUGGGCAAAGAUAUAAAAGAAUAUGAGGUUAAGGUUAUAAAUUAAGUUGAGGCACCAUCAGCCACGAUUUAAUUGAAUGGCGGAGUGGGCUUGAGGGAUUGAAUGUCUGCUCCCAUUCUUUCAUUUUGAGUAUAUCAUCCAUCAGAUGCUUGCAAACACAAAUGGAUUUAGCAAUGUUUAUGAAUGAAUUCAAUUUGGAAAUUUAAUGAAAAAUUAUUAUAAAAUCUUCGCUGUUAAUGUAGGUUUUGCAUGAUGUGCAACUACAUUAAAAUAGUGUUAAGGCAGUGUCAGCAUUAUUAUUUAGAAUAUCAUGUAACUUUUGCAGGGUACAUCAUUAAUACAUCAUGAAUUUAUCUUAGAUACAUUCUUAAGCAUGUUAAGCACUUCAUUUUAUAUUUUCCAAAUUUAGACUUUGUUUUUACUUAUUAAUAAAGGAUAAUAUACCCUA